rnacentral:rRNA from 1 species
AAUCAACGCUGGCGGCGUGCCUCAGACAUGCAAGUCGAACGAUUAAAGCUCUCUUCGGAGAGUGCAUAAAGUGGCGCACGGGUGAGUAACACGUAAGUAAUCUACCUUCGAGUGGGGAAUAACGUCCGGAAACGGACGCUAAUACCGCAUAACGCAGCGGCAUCGCAAGAUGACAGUUGUUAAAGAUUUAUCGCUUGAAGAGGAGCUUGCGGCAGAUUAGCUUGUUGGUAAGGUAACGGCUUACCAAGGCUACGAUCUGUAUCCGGUCUAAGAGGACGGUCGGACACACUGACACUGAAUAACGGGUCAGACUCCUACGGGAGGCAGCAGUCGGGAAUUUUGGGCAAUGGGGGAAACCCUGACCCAGCAACGCCGCGUGAAGGAUGAAGUAUUUCGGUAUGUAAACUUCGAAAGAAUAGGAAGAAUUAAUGACGGUACUACUUAUAAGGUCCGGCUAACUACGUGCCAGCAGCCGCGGUAAU